CUCGAGUCCACAAGACAAGAUGGAACAAUUGAUGAAAUCACAAAAUGCAGGAUUGCAUAUGACAACUGAUGGUACAAGCAAUUGAUUAUUGAUUCCAUAUAUGGUGUUUCAACAUAUCGAUAUUGCUAUGUAUAUAUCGACAAAAAUGACUCAUCGUCACUGGUAGAAUUGAAUUUGGACGCAAACACAAUGGGAGUCUAAGCUGCAAAAUGAUCAGAACAAAAGGGUUGCAGCCAGUAAUAACAGACUUCUAGCCAGAACAUACAAGUUACCUGUCAAAUAUGCAAAUGCAGGUUCCAGACUUAAUCAUUCAAUUCGUUGGUCCAGCAAUGAUCUCAGAAAUAAAACGUCCAAACACACGAGCUAUCAUCUUACCAUUCCACAGCAAGCUCCUAAACCUCUGCUGCAAUGAGUAAAAUGUUAGGUAAAAACUAGGUUUCAUUCAGAUCAAAUAAAAUCCUCAAUGAAAACCAACCAGGAAAAGAAUUUUAAAUUUAAAAACAGAAACAUAAAAGAUAAUGGCAAAGAAAAAUGCAAAAUGCAAGAAUUUUACUCUUCCAUAUACUGUGAAAUAUAAGAGACAGAGAUGGAGAUCUGUAAAGAAUGAAAUAUUGCCUACACCUACCCAACGUUAAAAUCUUUUCAUUUUUUUUUUCUUUUCUAAUUUACUCCCUUUUUUACAUCAAUUUCUCUGUAUAUGUAUAUGGAUCCUGCUCUUCAUGAGAAAACCAUCUUUCCGUUUCAUCUUCUGGGCAACAAACUGAAAGCUGCAGCAUAAAUCAGUCCAAAAUUGGGCACAUGCUUCUUUAUCCGCUAGUCCUUGUGUCUCCAACUCUGGAAACAGACAACUCUACAAGCCCCGCUUCACAAUCCACCAUGUGUGUUAGCAUGUCAGUUUUGUCUAUGUACAUGCACAAGAAUCAGCAGCAGCACAAAUGGCAGCCGCUGUACAUCAGCCAAAUCUGAUCAAAUUCAACUAGCAUUGCCAUGUUCCCAACAAAUGGCAGCCAAAUCUGAUAACAUGGCUGCCAUGUUCCCAACAACAAAGUCCAGCUGCCAUCUUCCAAUGUCUCUGGAUUCAGUUACACCCAGAUCAAAUUUCCUCACAAGUUUUGGGAUCACGUCUGAAGGUCAACCUUCUGGUUCCUUCCGUUUCUUGUUAGACUUCCUGCCUACCUUGCAUUUUUCUACUGAAUCCAAACCAGGCAAUGGCUUCUGGUUUGAUAUGCUGCUGGGCCUCAAAUUCUCAAUUGGAUCUGAAUUGGACAAUGUCUUCUCAUAAACAAUGGAAGAAUCAAGGGAAUAUAUACGCAGGGCAAGGGAAGAAACUGUAGAAGUUUUGGCAGCAGCAGAAAGUGAGGACCAGUACCACCACUCAUUUCGCAAAUACUCCGUCUUAAUCAUCUCCUCCAACAUAAUUGUUGCUUGGACCAUCUGAUAUAUUGACUCUGCAGAUUUAACAUAUGCACGCCAGGCCCACCUUCUUUCCAACUGCGCCUUCGAUGGCCUCAGGGAUUCUUCUGGAAGUGCAGCUUCCAUGUCAAGCAAAUUGAUCUUUAGUUGCCUUAAGAUAAAUGACACUUUCCCAACCAAUGGCCUUAAUGAAGACUGCGGGACCACACAAAAGCGACUGGACCCCAUUUCAGCAAAAUAUUUAUCUGAAGAGGACUUUCUCCCUCUUUGUUGCAUGCAUCCCAAAAGAGGUUUAUUGGUUUUCAAUACUUCAUUGAUUUCCUUUGCAGCAGUUUCCUUGGCAAAAUUGUCAGAUAAGCUCUGAAGGCCUACAUUACUCUCACUUCUGUUUCCUUUUGUAAAGGUCAGCCUUUCAUCAUCAUUGAACUUGUCACAAACACUGGUAUCCUUCUCAGGAGAUAUCAACAUUAACAUAGAAUCACUGAGGUAUGGAGAAAUAGUUGUGACAAAUGAUGGAAUCCCAUUUGACCCAAUAAGACCUAUAUCCUGUACCAAUUCUUUGUUGGAAUCCUUUGUCACAAACUUGGAACAUAUCUCUGAAAAGUCAUAUGGGCAUUCAAUUCUUUCAUUUUGAAAUUUAAUCAACCUUGAGCCAAGCUCAGACCAAUCACUUUUAGAAGUAUUAACUUUAUCCAUUUGAGUGACAAACUCUUUCGGGUCAGAUUUCAAAUUCCCCUUUGCUUUGAAGGAAUCAUUACUCACUUCACUUUUCUCAUGGGACGAUGGAACAAUAGAGCACCUACCAUCAUUAUGCCCCCCAAAAUCAACAUCAUUGGAGAAAGUUCUAUGGCAAGAGGAGCAGUGGUGUCUGGAAGGCCAAAUGAGCUCAAAGCAGUCACAUCGGUACAUUUUCUCUUCACUGCUCCCUUUGCCUUUCUUUCCUCUCUUCUUCAACAUGUUAGUGCUGUCACGCUCAGCACAGGCACCAUACUUCUUCUCCAGAAACAACGCAGCCUUGGCAACAAGACAAUUAGAAAAUGUAGUUUUAUCAUUGUUCGUGACCGUUGGCAAAGCUGCUUGGCAUUCUUCUUGAACCAUGUUUCUAGUUUGUUGAGUCUCCUGGAAUCUUAGCUUUAACCAUUGCAUAAUGGACUCUUUUAGCUCUCUUUCCUUUUGGUCAUUAUCCCCCAACCAACCAAUAAGCUCUUCAAUAUCUGCAUUAGUUUCAUAAGAAACCCAGAGUGAACAUGUAGCCAUAUUACCAUUUGGAUUAAACAGGAAGGGAAAACAAGCUCUUGACUCCUCCAAAUUCAAACAAGUGUUUAUGCCAAAUGAAGAAGAAUGAUGGAGCAUUGAACCAUUGCCAGAUAAGUCACUAUGAUCUGAUAUUUUUCUGAGCUGCAAUGUCAAACUCCCAUCAACAACAACCCGAGGACGCCCAGCAGAUGUAGCUGAAGCCCAAUACAAACGACCUGUGGAAUCACUCCCCAGAAACUCCCUACGCAUAGCUUGUUUCAGAAGUUGUGAUUCAAUGCCGGUAAUCAAAUUCUGCAGAUGAAGAAUGUCAUCCUUAAUGGUGCUCAACUCAGGACAGUGGGCUUGUGACUCGUUCAAAGCAACAGAAGGCACAUUCUCAACAGCAUGAAUAUUCAUGUCUGAUGACAGAGAAGAUCCUGGAUGAUUUGAAGGAGCUGAAGAGUCUUUCUCAACAUGUCCUUGCAAGCUAUUAUGGUGGCAAAUUUCACCCGUGUGAUCAAUUACUUGUGGCAAAUGACUUGAUAAAGACAACUCCCUAGGUCUAAAGGACUUGUCAUUUUCUUGAUAUGGUAUGCUACUACCAUCCAUGACAACAUCUUUCACUUGCCCUUUAGUAUCCAUCGUAUUACCAGUUUGGCUGUCACAAUUGAGCUUUUUCUCAUAAUUCAGAACAGAAGGAUGUUUACCAAAGCCACUAAUCCCACAUCCCUCUUGACUGUCAUCUAUUGCAGGCACAUCAUCAGAGCAGGCACAGAAGUGAUUAGGUCUAUCACUCAAACUAGGUGGCUUUCCCAUACAAUUACUCUGAUUUGUAAAUGCAGAACCAAGUCCUUCCCUUGCAUCUCCAGAUGCGCUAGUAUCCAACUUCAAAGUUCUCACAGCCAGAAAUUCUUCCCUGGACUUGAGAUUUUUUAAAUCCACAGAUAAUGAACGCAAUUUCUGCUGCAAUUCAUUUGUAGUUUCUACACACUGCUCAAGGUGCUGACGAACAAGAGCAGAGUUGAGUAAUUCAUCACAGAGAAACUUAAGAAGGAAGGUUCGCUCAUCUAUGCCAAAAUGCCAAUAAUCUUUUUCUCCCAUUGAAACUGCUAAAUGCAUUAGUGUCUCCAAGUAAGCACGGGUAAUUUCUCCCUGGUACUUUUUACUGUGGGUUUGGCCAAUGACCUCAGAACUUACUGAUGCCUCUUGAACCAUAUUUACACCAACACAAGACGGACAAUACCAAUUUCCUUCGGGAAUCCUUGCAAGUGGAGGAUUUAAGCAGUAAGUAUGAUACUCAGCAUCACAAGUAUCACACAACAGAACACUAUCAUCAUCUUUAUCAACACCACAUACUUUACAGACACCAUCAUCCCAAGGAGCUUUUGGAAUCUCAUUAGUUGAUGCAAGAAUAUCAUCUAAUUUUUUCUUGGCUUCUGCACUUAAGUGAUCCAAUUUAGCAUAAUCUUCAAACUUCUGAACAAGAGUAACCACCUCCUUUUCAUAUAAAGUUUCAAAAUUUUGUGAUAGAGUCUCGGCCAAUUGAACCAAAUCAGGCUGGUCUCUAAAUGCAGAGUGGACAUUGUUCCAUAACUCUCGAACAUCCUCAAGAAAAGAUUCAUGUGAUCCACCAUAGGCCCCAACUGCCAAUCUCAAAUCAAUUGUCCUAAAAUCUAGAGGACGGGAAACCAUGGCUGGAGAUCCAAGAAGUCCCUCAUCAUCAUGGUCACAGGGAUUUAUUAGAUUUCUUCCCAGCAAGGUGCAGAAAAUUUUUGAAUCAUCAGCUGCAGCAGCACGACGGAGUACAAUACGACAUUUUUUCAUUAUAAUGUCAGAUACAGGUAUAGUAAUCUUCCUUUUAUUUCUCUUCUCAGAUUUCUGAGGCAAUUCUUCAUUCAAUAAAUCUGCUAGCACUGAAAGAACUGCUUUCUUGGUAGGACCUGAUGCAUUGCCCUUGUAGACCUCCUUACUUAUUGAAUGUUCUAAUCUUUUCUUCGCCCAUUCAGGAGGACAUUUUGCCAGUGCCUCAUAUACACACUUUCUGAUUCUAGUCCCCACAUUGGUGGGUAGCUUUCUAACAGGUUCCAGAACCUGUGCCCACUCUGGGAUACCGCCAUCAUUCACACUAUUCUUUUCACAAGAAGAACCACUUGAAUUAGUUACUUCAUCCUCCAUUGUAAGAAAAUCUUUUUCUCUGCUCAAGGAACCAUAAAUUUUCUUUGUAGCCUCUGCAAGCAAGAGUGCAUCUGCCUCCAUCCCCGCAACUCCAGCAAGUGAGCCACAAAGCACCCCACCAUCACCCUGUAAGCAGCGAAAAACUUUACCACUUUCACGAACAGUAACAUCGGCAGAGUCAAGGCUACCAUCCAUGGAUAAGACAGCCAAUAUAUAUCUCCGGGCUAAUUCAGGCCAAGUCAGUUCAUUGAUAGGAAGAGUAGUAAGCUUAUUUCUCAAUGGAAUUAAGUUGUCAGCAUCUUUCCUCCUCCCCCGUUUUGAUUUUGAUUCCCCAGAAUCAAAAUUUGGAUCAACAAGUGCAGCAACCUUUGAUUGCAUCUCAGUUAUUAGCACUGAUAGCAGUGAACUAUGAACCUUUGUCAAUGCUACUCCAGAGCAUCUGCUAUGAGAAACAGAUGCAAGUCUAUCUUGGGCUAAAUCAUUUGUCCCACCUUUUUCCACUUGUAUCAAAACAUGUGAAUUAUCCCCUUGGCCCGUACAUAAUUCUUCACAUGAAGAUAAGAUUGGUCCACUCAUGCCAUCAACUUUAUCUAAAUCAACAAUUUGAAUCCCAGGGACCUUCCUCUCAAGAUUUUCUGAAAGAUUUGAGCCAUCAGUCCAUGGGUUGAUAAGUUCUUCUUCAAGUUCCCCUAACAACAAAGGCUCUUUUAAACCCAAUAUUUCAUGGAAUCGCCAUAGUAACUCCCAUACCUGAUAUAAGUCGCCAACAAGAACAGGUGGAAGCUUGGAGCACAACCACCUCCCAGGAGGAGGAGGAUGAUCACCUGUCCCACAAUCCUUCCCGAGCCUGGGUUUUUUGGAUCUUUGAAAUAAAUCAUCUAAAUCUGCUCCAUUUUUCCUUUUAGCCAUUAGAAGUCCAUUUCCAACUGUUUGGGAUUCAGAAUAAUCACCUCUAUUAAACAGAAAUUCAUAAUUUGGACAGGCGCCAACACCAGGAAGCUGUUCUAUGAUUUCUUGCACAAAAUCUGUGUCCAACCCAAAUCUGUCUUGAUCCAACCAUUUUGACAGAGCAGCAGCCAAAUUGUCAACCUCACCCUCGUAUUCCAGUGGCAUGCCAAAAGACCCAGGGGAACUGCAAAAUUUGGCCAAUGAAGCAAAACCUACUGAGCUCUUUUUAUCCUCAUCGCAGGUUAGUGACCCAAUUUCAUUAUUGACAUGUUUGCAGUACAACUUAAGGAUACCUUUCCGAUUGCAAAUUUCAGAAUAAGCAUCAAUUAAUUUCUGAGACACCAUUCUCCAUGCUGAAGAUGAUGAGCAUUCUUCUGCUGAGAUCUCACCAAUCUCAUCUCCUAAUCCCAAAUCGCAGGAUGAAAAGUUUCCAGCCCUGCUGUGAGAGGAACUACUUUGCAAGCUCUCUGUAGUCUGAACACCAUAAGUCCCAUUUGAACUAUGAUCAAGACAGGUCAAGAUAUCAUCUUCUGUUGGUGGGGAAGCAUCUGCCAGAAUCAUCUCAACAGUGCCAUCUUCAUCAUAAUCCAUAUUAUGGCAAAUCGUAUCAUUAUACUCUUUGCUUUUUUGACCAGCAAAUUGGCCAGAGUUUUUUCUACAUAGAACACUUGAGCCUUCAGGAACAGGCAACACUGAGCAUGAAAACCUCCUGACUUUGAAGACUGGUCCAGAAUCACCACCGUCCAACACUUCACACACGAAAAGAGACCCAGUAACUUUGUCAUGCCAACAGGAUCUAUAACCUACCGGCCAAAUUAACUGAGUAUCAUGAUAUGAAGGUCUCGCAUCAAUUUUUCCCAAAGAAAUAACAAAGAAAUCUUCAAACUGGACAGGAAGUUCUUCAUCUGAUGACAGAGAUUUAGUGAUAUCAUCUUCUUCUGCAUCAGCUUCUCCAACUUUACCAAAUUGAGUAUCACCAAUUUCUGUACUUUGACCAUUGGACAAGAGAUCCUUGUGAUAUCCAUUUACCAGAGCUUGUUUAUUUUCAGUAAAACCAUUGGCAAGUGAAGAUCUUUUUGACUUUCUUCUUUUGGGUAAAUGCAACCUCUCUUGCAGAGGAGACCCAUCACUUCUCUUGUCACUCAAAUUGACCCGCUCUUCAGAGCUCUCCCCAUCGCCAUCGCAGUCGCUUGGCGGCGACGCGUUGAUAUCCAAAAUCCGCUUACUCUUAACACCUAAAGGCCACCGUUUACUCUUAACACCACCACUCACGCACUCUCCACAUAUCCAAUCCACCAAAUUCAUAGCUUGCCUUCCGUGCAUUCCCGCACAUGUGAUAUGAAACCCACGCUCACACCCGUCGCACACAACUACAUGCCCUCGCACCUCCGGCUUUCCGCACGCCCCGCACGUAGGUAGCCCCUGCUCCCUGGGCAAUCUGGCAGCGAUUCCAGACGCCGGGUCCUGAUUCUCGUGGAAAGAGCGGACGACAUCAAGAGAGUCGAGCUCAGAAGGUUCAGGGUUAGGCAGGACAGGCUGGGUGGGUGUGGGUGCUGGUACGGAUUCGGAUACGGCUACGGAAGAAGGAGAGGAAGAGGAAGGGAUCUCAUUGAGAUCGAUACCAAGAGGAGAGCGAGUGGCUAACUCGCUAGAAUCGGUUUCCAUUAUCUGAGUUGGAAGAACAAGAACAUUGUAUUCGUGUUUCUACUUUUAUUUGGAUCAAACAAGAGAGAGAAAACUGGAGAGAUCGAACUUCAAAGGGUUUCGGUAUGGGCUAGAGAGAGAGAGAGAGAGAGAG
rnacentral:misc_RNA from 1 species